GGCCCAAUAGCUUAACUGGUUAGAGCAGACGACUCAUAAUCGUUGUAGUGCAGGUUCAAGUCCUGUUUGGGCCACCA
rnacentral:tRNA from 1 species